AUUGAACGCUGGCGGCAGGCCUAACACAUGCAAGUCGAGCGGAUGAGGGGAGCUUGCUCCUUGAUUCAGCGGCGGACGGGUGAGUAAUGCCUAGGAAUCUGCCUGGUAGUGGGGGAUAACGUUCCGAAAGGAACGCUAAUACCGCAUACGUCCUACGGGAGAAAGCAGGGGACCUUCGGGCCUUGCGCUAUCAGAUGAGCCUAGGUCGGAUUAGCUAGUUGGUGAGGUAAUGGCUCACCAAGGCGACGAUCCGCAACUGGUCUGAGAGGAUGAUCAGUCACACUGGAACUGAGACACGGUCCAGACUCCUACGGGAGGCAGCAGUGGGGAAUAUUGGAUAAUGGGCGAAAGCCUGAUCCAGCCAUGCCGCGUGUGUGAAGAAGGUCUUCGGAUUGUAAAGCACUUUAAGUUGGGAGGAAGGGCAGUAAGUUAAUACCUUGCUGUUUUGACGUUACCAACAGAAUAAGCACCGGCUAACUCUGUGCCAGCCGCCGCGGUAAUAC
rnacentral:rRNA from 1 species